rnacentral:rRNA from 1 species
UAGGGAAUCUUCGGCAAUGGACGAAAGUCUGACCGAGCAACGCCGCGUGAGUGAAGAAGGUUUUCGGAUCGUAAAACUCUGUUGUUAGAGAAGAACAAGGACGUUAGUAACUGAACGUCCCCUGACGGUAUCUAACCAGAAAGCCACGGCUAACUACGUGCCAGCAGCCGCGGUAAUACGUAGGUGGCAAGCGUUGUCCGGAUUUUUUGGGCGUAAAGCGAGCGCAGGCGGUUUCUUAAGUCUGAUGUGAAAGCCCCCGGCGCAACCGGGGAGGGUCAUUGGAAAGUGGGAGACUUGAGUGCAGAAGAGGAGAGUGGAAUUCCAGGUGUAGCGGUGAAAUGCGUAGAUAUAUGGAGGAACACCAGUGGCGAAGGCGGCUCUCUGGUCUGUAACAGACGCUGAGGCUCGAAAGCGUGGGGAGCAAACAGG